rnacentral:rRNA from 1 species
AGCGAACGCUGGCGGCAGGCUUAACACAUGCAAGUCGAACGGGCUUCUUCGGACGUCCGUGGCAGACGGGUGAGUAACACGUGGGAACGUGCCCUUCGGUUCGGAAUAACUCAGGGAAACUUGAGCUAAUACCGGAUACGCCCUUUUGGGGAAAGGUUGACUGCCGAAGGAUCGGCCCGCGUCUGAUUAGCUUGUUGGUGGGGUAACGGCCUACCAAGGCGACGAUCAGUAGCUGGUCUGAGAGGAUGAUCAGCCACACUGGGACUGAGACACGGCCCAGACUCCUACGGGAGGCAGCAGUGGGGAAUAUUGGACAAUGGGCGCAAGCCUGAUCCAGCCAUGCCGCGUGAGUGAUGAAGGCCUUAGGGUUGUAAAGCUCUUUUGUCCGGGACGAUAAUGACGGUACCGGAAGAAUAAGCCCCGGCUAACUUCGUG